rnacentral:lncRNA from 1 species
CUUCAGUCAGAGUAGACCUUAAAGUUUAGAAUUUAUGCAAAGAGAUAAUUUGAGCAUUUCAUCAGCCUUUUCUAUUUUUCCACACUCUCCAGAUUAGACACCAUGGAGAACUGAGCAUGUCUCACUGUGGAAGGAGGAUGACAGUGCCAUUCCAGAGUAGCCCUGGAUGAUUAGGGGAUAUCCGACUAACCUGAUGGGAAGUCAAAGCAGUGGGAGCUGAUUGGACCUUUUGGGAAAGCAGGAAUGAAACUUCAAGCCCUGACAGUUAGUGGCCUACGUAUCCAUCAGUGAUAGAACCCAAGACAAAUGGUAUGUAAGAGAAUUAGAUAAAGAGGGGACCAGGGUUUCAGGUAAGUGAAAGAUUGUUUUCCUAGAGGAGGGUUGGUGACUUCAC